AGAGUUUGAUCCUGGCUCAGGAUGAACGCUGGCGGCGUGCUUAACACAUGCAAGUCGAACGAAGCACCUUGAUUUGAUUCUUCGGAUGAAGAUCUUGGUGACUGAGUGGCGGACGGGUGAGUAACGCGUGGGUAACCUGCCUCAUACAGGGGGAUAACAGUUAGAAAUGACUGCUAAUACCGCAUAAGACCACAGCACCGCAUGGUGCAGGGGUAAAAACUCCGGUGGUAUGAGAUGGACCCGCGUCUGAUUAGGCAGUUGGUGGGGUAACGGCCUACCAAGCCGACGAUCAGUAGCCGACCUGAGAGGGUGACCGGCCACAUUGGGACUGAGACACGGCCCAAACUCUUACGGGAGGCAGCAGUGGGGAAUAUUGCACAAUGGGGGAAACCCUGAUGCAGCGACGCCGCGUGAGCGAUGAAGUAUUUCGGUAUGUAAAGCUCUAUCAGCAGGGAAGAAAAUGACGGUACCUGACUAAGAAGCACCGGCUAAAUACGUGCCAGCAGCCGCGGUAAUACGUAUGGUGCAAGCGUUAUCCGGAUUUACUGGGUGUAAAGGGAGCGUAGACGGAGUGGCAAGUCUGAUGUGAAAACCCGGGGCUCAACCCCGGGACUGCAUUGGAAACUGUCAAUCUAGAGUACCGGAGAGGUAAGCGGAAUUCCUAGUGUAGCGGUGAAAUGCGUAGAUAUUAGGAGGAAGACCAGUGGCGAAGGCGGCUUACUGGACGGUAACUGACGUUGAGGCUCGAAAGCGUGGGGAGCAAACAGGAUUAGAUACCCUGGUAGUCCACGCCGUAAACGAUGA
rnacentral:rRNA from 1 species